rnacentral:rRNA from 1 species
CAGUAGCCGCGGUAAUACAGAGGGUGCGAGCGUUAAUCGGAUUUACUGGGCGUAAAGCGUGCGUAGGCGGCUUUUUAAGUCGGAUGUGAAAUCCCUGAGCUUAACUUAGGAAUUGCAUUCGAUACUGGGAAGCUAGAGUAUGGGAGAGGAUGGUAGAAUUCCAGGUGUAGCGGUGAAAUGCGUAGAGAUCUGGAGGAAUACCGAUGGCGAAGGCAGCCAUCUGGCCUAAUACUGACGCUGAGGUACGAAAGCAUGGGGAGCAAACAGGAUUAGAGACCCCGGUAGUCCCUGUCUCUUAUAA